UGGCUCAGAUGGUAAAGCAUCUGCCUGAAAUACAGGAGGCCCAGGUUCAAUCCCUGG
rnacentral:tRNA from 1 species